rnacentral:lncRNA from 1 species
GGGUGCAUGUUUAUUGUUUAUGUGAUUAUGUUUAACUUGGUAACGGGGACUAAGGGAAAACAGAUAAGGUGACAGCCUCACUAGAUAUCCUGGGAGAUGGUGGACGGACUGGGUUCAUAGGGAACCCUACCGUGAACGUAGUCUCAUACCGGAUGGGGUAUGGAGACUUGGUCAAUUAGUGCUUAUAUCGGACGGGGUAUGGGGACGGCCAGCUUCACCCUCAUACCGGACGGGGUAUUGAGGUUUAAUGUCUUGGAACUCAUACUGAACGGGGUAUGGGGAUGGCCCUGCAAUUAAGAUUGUUAAGGAGAAUGGUUCACGUGUAGCGAGGACACCCUUAUGGAUCCCCAUGGAUACUAGUAGGCCGGUGAAAAUGAGAAACGGUGAUAAUCACUUAUUGUUAAUGAAUACGGAUUUAUGAUAUGUUUUAUAUUACUGAUUAUGCAUGAAAUUGUGAUCUGUAUAAUAUUACUACUUCUAAAAUUUGUUUCCAUCAAUUCUCCGAUGGUAAGAACAAGGGUAAAUGGUUUUAUUGUAAAUAAAUGUAAUGGUUUAAAUCAACUGCUCCAUUGGUUGUUUUGAUUUUCUACCAACUUUUGCUUCUGUGAUGGUGAUAUAGUGUGAUGUCCUUACUGGGCUAGUG